rnacentral:tRNA from 1 species
UAGUGCAAUGGAUUUAAGCUUCAUAAAUAAAGUAUGUUACUUUUAUUAGAA